AUUUAUGUAGUUUAUAAAAACAUUACAUUUUCACUGUAAAGAUAAAUUAAUUUUCAUAAAUA
rnacentral:tRNA from 1 species